UACAGAGGGUGCAAGCGUUAAUCGGAAUUACUGGGCGUAAAGCGUGCGCAGGCGGUUAUGCAAGACAGAGGUGAAAUCCCCGGGCUCAACCUGGGAACUGCCUUUGUGACUGCAUAGCUAGAGUACGGCAGAGGGGGAUGGAAUUCCGCGUGUAGCAGUGAAAUGCGUAGAUAUGCGGAGGAACACCGAUGGCGAAGGCAAUCCCCUGGGCCUGUACUGACGCUCAUGCACGAAAGCGUGGGGAGCAAACAGG
rnacentral:rRNA from 1 species